rnacentral:rRNA from 1 species
GACGAACGCUGGCGGCGUGCUUAACACAUGCAAGUCGAACGGAAAGGCCCUGCUUUUGUGGGGUGCUCGAGUGGCGAACGGGUGAGUAACACGUGAGUAACCUGCCCUUGACUUUGGGAUAACUUCAGGAAACUGGGGCUAAUACCGGAUAGGAGCUCCUGCUGCAUGGUGGGGGUUGGAAAGUUUCGGCGGUUGGGGAUGGACUCGCGGCUUAUCAGCUUGUUGGUGGGGUAGUGGCUUACCAAGGCUUUGACGGGUAGCCGGCCUGAGAGGGUGACCGGCCACAUUGGGACUGAGAUACGGCCCAGACUCCUACGGGAGGCAGCAGUGGGGAAUAUUGCACAAUGGGCGGAAGCCUGAUGCAGCAACGCCGCGUGCGGGAUGACGGCCUUCGGGUUGUAAACCGCUUUCGCCUGUGAUGAAGCGUGAGUGACGGUAAUGGGUAAAGAAGCACCGGCUAACUACGUGCCAGCAGCCGCGGUGAUACGUAGGGUGCGAGCGUUGUCCGGAUUUAUUGGGCGUACAAGGCUCGUAGGUGGUUGAUCGCGUCGGAAGUGUAAUCUUGGGGCUUAACCCUGAGCGUGCCUUCGAUACGGGUUGACUUGAGGAAGGUAGGGGAGAAUGGAAUUCCUGGUGGAGCGGUGGAAUGCGCAGAUAUCAGGAGGAACACCAGUGGCGAAGGCGGUUCUCUGGGCCUUUCCUGACGCUGAGGAGCGAAAGCGUGGGGAGCGAACAGGCUUAGAUACCCUGGUAGUCCACGCUGUAAACGGUGGGUACUAGGUGUGGGGUCCAUUCCACGGGUUCCGUGCCGUAGCUAACGCUUUAAGUACCCCGCCUGGGGAGUACGGCCGCAAGGCUAAAACUCAAAGGAAUUGACGGGGCCCCGCACAAGCGGCGGAGCAUGCGGAUUAAUUCGAUGCAACGCGUAGAACCUUACCUGGGUUUGACAUGGAUCGGGAGUGCUCAGAGAUGGGUGUGCCUCUUUUGGGGUCGGUUCACAGGUGGUGCAUGGCUGUCGUCAGCUCGUGUCGUGAGAUGUUGGGUUAAGUCCCGCAACGAGCGCAACCCUUGUUCACUGUUGCCAGCACGUUAUGGUGGGGACUCAGUGGAGACCGCCGGGGUCAACUCGGAGGAAGGUGGGGAUGACGUCAAGUCAUCAUGCCCCUUAUGUCCAGGGCUUCACGCAUGCUACAAUGGCUGGUACAGAGAGUGGCGAGCCUGUGAGGGUGAGCGAAUCUCGGAAAGCCGGUCUCAGUUCGGAUUGGGGUCUGCAACUCGACCUCAUGAAGUCGGAGUCGCUAGUAAUCGCAGAUCAGCAACGCUGCGGUGAAUACGUUCCCGGGGCU